rnacentral:misc_RNA from 1 species
GGAAGGAUCAUUACCGAAUCGUCAAACACGGGUUGUUGCUGGCCUCCAAACGGGGCACGUGCACACUCUGUUUACGCAUCCACUCACACCUGUGCACCCUCUGUAGUUCUGUGGAUCGGGAGACACCGUCUUCCUUCCGUGGCUCUACGUCUUUACACACACACCGUAGCGAUGUCUUAUGGAAUGUUUUUUCGCGUUUAACGCAAUACAAUACAACUUUCAGCAACGGAUCUCUUGGCUCUCGCAUCGAUGAAGAACGCAGC